GCGCAGCAGGCGAGAACCUCCGCAAUACACGAAAGUGUGACGGGCCAUCCCGAGUGCCGUCCGCUGAGGACGGCUUUCCCAGUGUAUAUAGCCGGGGAAUAAGGAGAGGGCAAGCCUGGUGUCAGCCGCCGCGGUAAUACCAGCUCUCCGAGUGGUGGGGACGCUUAUUGGGCCUAAAGCAUCCGUAGCCGGCUAGGCAAGUCCUCCGUUAAAUCCAACGAUUCAAUCGUUGGGCUGCGGGGGAUACUGUCCAGCUUGGGGGCGGGAGAGGCCGACGGUAUUCCCGGGGUAGGGUGAAAUCCUAUAAUCCCGGGAGGACCACCAGUGGCGAAGGCUGUCGGCUAGAACGCGCCCGACGGUGAGGGAUGAAAGCUGGGGGAGCGAACCGGAUUAGAUACCCCGUAGU
rnacentral:rRNA from 1 species